UGGGGAAUUUUGGACAAUGGGCGAAAGCCUGAUCCAGCAAUGCCGCGUGUGUGAAGAAGGCCUUCGGGUUGUAAAGCACUUUUGUCCGGAAAGAAAUCCUUGGCUCUAAUACAGUCGGGGGAUGACGGUACCGGAAGAAUAAGCACCGGCUAACUACGUGCCAGCAGCCGCGGUAAUACGUAGGGUGCAAGCGUUAAUCGGAAUUACUGGGCGUAAAGCGUGCGCAGGCGGUUUGCUAAGACCGAUGUGAAAUCCCCGGGCUCAACCUGGGAACUGCAUUGGUGACUGGCAGGCUAGAGUAUGGCAGGAGGGGGGUAGAAUUCCACGUGUAGCAGUGAAAUGCGUAGAGAUGUGGAGGAAUACCGAUGGCGAAGGCAGCCCCCUGGGCCAAUACUGACGCUCAUG
rnacentral:rRNA from 1 species